rnacentral:rRNA from 1 species
AGUAACGCUGGCGGCGUGCCUAACACAUGCAAGUCGAGCGAAGUAACUAGCGUAGCAAUACGAAAAGUGCUUAGCGGCAGACGGGUGAGUAAUACAUAGAUAACUUUCCUCUUAGAGGGGGAUAGCCCGCCGAAAGGCGGGGUAAUACCGCGUAAGAUCAGGAAUUGAUAACAGUUUCUGAUGAAACAUCCGCAAGGAUGGCUGAGAGAUGGGUCUAUGGCCUAUCAGCUAGUUGGUGAGGUAAUGGCUCACCAAGGCUAAGACGGGUAACCGGCCUGAAAGGGUGGACGGUCACACUGACACUGAGACACGGGUCAGACACCUACGGGUGGCAGCAGUGAGGAAUCUUGGACAAUGGGGGAAACCCUGAUCCAGCGACGCCGCGUGAAGGAUGAAGGUCUUCGGAUUGUAAACUUCUUUUCUCCGGGAAUAAUAAAUCGGUAGAAAUACCGAGAUUGAAUGUACCGGAGGAAUAAGCCACGGCUAACUUCGUG